CUAUGGAAUCAAUUUCCAAGAGGAGAUCAGCCUCUACGACAAACACUAAUGUGAUGGAAUAAACAGAGACAAGUCUACAAGCUCCUGAACCAAACAUGGUAGUAGCUUUUCUUUAUAAUGACACUUACAGGUCAUGCAGUAGAAGCUAUUAGUUGAUGUUCUACCUGUUCCCCCAAAGCAGAAAAUUAGAGGAAACACACCAUCGGCUUAGAUUUCUUCCCCUGAAGAUCAUCAAGAUGGCUCCCCUGCUGGCAAAUGAAAGGCCUUCAUUUUUCCAGACUUUACUUAUCUGUCUUCGUUUUCAACUCAACUUGUUCAGUGGCUGUGCGUCUGGGAGCCCCUGCACCACCCGCCCCCCCAGGGCAGGCUCCAUUCCUCUCACUGGAGCAUUAGGGGUUUAAUCACUGACAAUCCUGCUGCUUGCAGGAGUCUCCCAGCCCUGGUGUGUGAGGAAACAGGCUACACGAGUCUGUCUUCCUCGUCAUCCGUAGCUUUCAUGGCUCUGCAGGCGGGUAGAGGAGGGUCUUCUCUGAGUGGGAGGUGGGCUGAGCUUGAGAAGAAGGCUGGGCACAGGCGGCUCAGCACAGGGCCUGGCAUGGAGCAGAAAGGCAGAAGCACCUGCUACCUUCGUGGUGACCCCAAAUAAUGCCGGAGCUAGGGACGACAGUAGAGACCUACUGUAGACAGAGGCAGACUUACGAAAUUGCAGAACUAUAGGUUGCUGGGCCAGGAAAGGGGCCGGGGGAAGGUUUUGCAAUGGCCAUACAAGUGCAUUCAGUGCUUCUGCCCUUGAGCUUCUGCAAUGCCCGUCUGCCCCCCUGUGAGGGAGGCGUGAGAACAGAGCUCUGCUCUGCCCUCAGGGUCUCGGCCCCCUCCAGCCUCUCAUGGUGUCAGCUCCCCACAUACUAGGUGUGAUUCCUGGGUUUAAGGAAAUAUAUGUUUCACACAGUGUAAUUCUUAGGUGUAAGCCGGCUGUGCCUCUAGUAACUGACCGAAGAAACACUGAUUUAUCCUUCCUCGGCCAGAGGGAGAAAAGUGGUUUCUGUACUGGAAAUUUUGAGAGAUGAUGUCUUUGUCUCCAGCACAGCACAUAAAUACUGCUGCCGUGUGAGCUGUACUCAGAUGCUGAUUUGAGUCUUUCUAGAAUGAUUUUGACUCCAUGAGGUUUUCGUCUUAUGAGCAACCCCCAGGUCCGAUAAAUAGCACUGUGAGAAGGACGGUCUCAUCGGCCCUCAGUUAGACUACUGUCCACAUCUGCCCCCCCUUCCUGUUCCCUCUAUUCUAGUGAACUGUGAUUUUCCAAAUUCAUCUCCAGUCUAUAUUCAAUCUGCAGUGAUUAGAAGCAGAGGGAAGACGGGCCGUUAUGAAGAGGGAGGAGUGGGAGCAGAACUGACUGGUAGAAAGAAACGAAGUCUGGCCUUGCCCGUUCUUCCCAUGUCUGGGAAGCCCUGCAUUUGGCCCUUUCCACUUGGAACAGGCUUAAUGAUUCCAGACAAGAAAAGGGAGCUCCUAUGGAAGAAACCCAGGCAAUCAUUCCACCUUGGUGACAGACAAGCCUUGGAGAACAGACUGGAGGCUGUAGCAGUGACAGCCACAGGGCCCUCCCAUGUCAGCUGCAGGAGCACCAGGGACCUGCCUUCAUCUUUACUCCUUGAAUUACAGAUAUAAACCACAGAAGAAACAGAUGGGAGAUGCCAAAGCAUGUGUAUACACCUGUGGGAUGAUCCAACAGAAGUGGGAGGCACGGGGAGAGUGACUGCAUGAAUGAGGGGAGGCCACGCUGAGCACCAGUGGACUGGUGGCCCUCGAAUGGGGCAGACAUAUCUGACUAGGGGGCAAGUCAAGAGGUGAACAAGCAUACUUGUGACAAUUUCAGGGGAAAAUGGGGAAAUGAGGGAGUUAACAUGAGAUAGGUUCUAUUUUCUUAAUGAAAUAUGAGAAGGAUUCAUCAGCUAAGAGGAAGGACCUUAUGCUAGAAGAGAAGAUUGAACACAAGAGGUGGCUGAUGGAGAGGAAAAAGUGUUGGAACCAAUGGAAAGGAGACCUUGACAGAGCUGAAGAACUGUUGCAGUGAAUUGAACAAGUACAUUGAAGGAGAAGAAGCUGAGGAAGACAGUGGGCAUGUGGGCUUGCAGAGGACUGACAGUUUCUGGUGGUGACAAGGUUCAGACAAUAACCUUGAGGUGGAAUAGAGGAAGAAAAGGCCAUCAGAGAUUAAAAAGGUCAAGGGAACUUAGAAGCCAGGCUGCUGGAAUGAGCAUCAAUGUGGUUAAUGUCACUGAGAUUGACGAAAGGGAGCUGUGUAGAGAAGCAGGGACUGUAGCCCUCAGUGAACGAGGACCUGUGAUCUAGUGAUAGAGUCAGGCAGGGGGACCUUCUAACAGACAAGGGCUUUGUAAGAGAGAAUAAGAGUUAUGUCUGAGAACAACAAUGGAAGAUAAGCAGGCACCAACUCUACCUCCUGGCCUUGAAGUCUGUGCACUCUAAAAGAUCAAACAGCCUCUGCCAGAAAGAACUGAAGGAAUAUAGGGCCCUGGGACCAGUCUGGCUCUGACCAAGGCAAGGAGUGGCAGGGAAGGCAGUUACAGGCUGAGGAUGUGGAGGAAUUGUGUAGAUCAGGAAAUGAGGGGGCGGGGAGGAGGUUCUAAAAGACACCUGGGAAAUGUUUGGGAAGGGUGGGAAAUUGGAUCAAGCCAGGUUAUGGUAAUAUUGUACACCUGAAACUAAUAUUACACUGUACAUUAACUGACUGGAAUUUAAAUAAAAACUUAAGGGGCACCUGGGUGGCUCAUUCAGUUAGGCCUCUGCCUUCGGCUCAGCUCAUGAUCUCAGGGUCCUGGGAUGGAGCCCCACAUCGGGCUCCCUGCUCAGCAGUGAGCCUGCUUCUCCCUGUGCUCGCUGUUCCCCCUGCUUGUUUUCUCUCUCUCUGACAAAUAAAUAAAUAAAAACUUUUAAAAAAAUCCAAA